UACGGAGGGUGCGAGCGUUGUCCGGAAUCACUGGGCGUAAAGGGCGCGUAGGUGGCCUGUGGAAGUCUGCGGUGAAAGCCCGGCGCUCGACGCCGGGUCGGCCGUGGAUACUCUCGGGCUUGAGCUUACUAGAGGCAGAUGGAAUUCCGGGUGUAGCGGUGAAAUGCGCAGAUAUCAGGAGGAACACCAGUGGCGAAGGCGGUGAUCUGGGCCGAUACUGACGCUGUAGAGCGAAAGCGUGGGGAGCGAACAGG
rnacentral:rRNA from 1 species